GGAGGGGUGGCCGAGCGGUUGAAGGCGCCGGUCUUGAAAACCGGAAGGCGAAAGCCUCGCGGGUUCGAAUCCCGCCCCCUCCGCCA
rnacentral:tRNA from 1 species